CAGUCGCCGCGGUAAUACGGAGGGCGCGAGCGUUACCCGGAUUUACUGGGCGUAAAGGGCGUGUAGGCGGCCUGGGGCGUCCCAUGUGAAAGGCCACGGCUCAACCGUGGAGGAGCGUGGGAUACGCUCAGGCUAGAGGGUGGGAGAGGGUGGUGGAAUUCCCGGAGUAGCGGUGAAAUGCGCAGAUACCGGGAGGAACGCCGAUGGCGAAGGCAGCCACCUGGUCCACUUCUGACGCUGAGGCGCGAAAGCGUGGGGAGCAAACCGGAUUAGAUACACCCGUAGUCCCUGUCUCUUAUAC
rnacentral:rRNA from 1 species